rnacentral:lncRNA from 1 species
CCAGAAGGAGAUAGCCAAGAACUCUGUAAAGAGUGGAAUCAAAGGAGGUUGUUGUUGAGCUCCGACUUCAACCGCAGAAAUCAAAGCUGUAAGCAUCCAGACAUGAACAAUAAAUUAGCCAAGCAAGAAGGAUGGAAAAUGGAGUACUGCUUAACUUAUGCAGCUAUCGAUAAAAUAAGACUACUUAGACUUGAAUUACUUCUUGUGAAGAAGUCCAAAAUUUGCCACUAAGCUAUUGACUUAUCACUUAACUUUACCUACUUAAAAGUUGGCAACAAAAAUAUACUCUCAUUAUCACCAUUUUGUAUCAAAUAGCCCUUUUUUCUCUAGCUCAGCAAACAGAAUCAUCUUUCGCAUCCAUCAUCGUCCAGGUAGGGCACGUGAGUGACAUGUCUCAUACUAAAAACGAAUGUUCGAGCCACUUCAGCGAAACAAAGAAAAGAACAAAUGAUCCCUAUCUUUGAAAACAUGUUAAAUGACACAACUAAAGCUAAUCAGGUAACAACUACUCAACUUCUUGUUAAAUUUUCUGAAACAACUUCCAGUCACUAACUUUUAAAAAGUAAAAGUGAUUGUUUCACAUCAAGUCAUUUUAGAAGAAGGGUCAUCCAAACAAGCCAACUAGGAAAUCCUUUAGGGAGAAGCUAAGAGUUUCUUCUACCAGUGACCUGUUAGAUUUUUCUAUCUUCAUUAGUCUUUUCUCUAUGGAUUUGUCGUGUUUGUUUCUCACCAUGAAAGAGAUAUAUCCUUCUUAGCCCUCGUUCCGUCUUAGUUGCCUUGUCCGCCAUCUUGUUCACUAAAAGAAAAAACCAGGAAAACAGGAAAAAAAGAAAAAAAGAAGAUAAGGAAACUUACGAAGCUUUUCUGAAGUUCUAGCUUCAGUUUAACUGUCCUUUUCUUAUGCUACCAAAUUUGUGGGGCAUAUAAAACUAGAAUCCAGAUAUAGAAUUAAAAUGUUAUCAUAUAGUUACAGAUUCUCCUCCAAUUGGCCAUGUUUGACCAUGUAGGAUAACAUACAACUGCUAGAACGGUCACAAAACGGAGAUGAAUUAGCAGAUCACAAGGGCAAUGCAAAACUAGUUCAGUACAAAAGAUGGCAUCACUUGUUAAUAGUGAAGUAAAAUUUCUCAUUGAAUAACCGAAUAAUAGGAAUCUAAUGUACGGUAACAAAUCGGAUGAAGGAUAGUACUACAUAUUGUUACACUAGCAAAAUUCAAGCUAUUAUUUUCUUUUGUAAAUACCGCUUGCACAAUUUUGUAGUUCAUCUUGCAAAUGCAGCAAUCCUUUUCAUAUAGAUAUAUAAUAAUAAGGUCAAUGGGAAAUGGAUUGAGGAAAAGAACUGCAUUAAAUAGAUGUUAGUAAGUUCUCCCUGCAAAUGUGGCAGGACAUGUAAAAAGGCACCUUAAUAUCUUCAAGACGAAAAAAAGUUAGUUGGCUUACAGGUAAGGUUGAAUUUUCUGCAGCAUCUUUUUUCUUAGAAAUCAAUUAUUUGUGUUUGCACUCACUGCUUUGUUUUGGUUACAAUUACCAGUUUAUUCCAAAUUGAAACCAAAUUUAUACAUAAUAUUAUUGGAAUACUGAUCUUAAUAAGACUGUUAUAUCAUCCAGCUAGUCAUGAAGAUGUCCCGGUGCAAUUUGUAAAUGUUGAUAGUUUUAGAUGAUAAUAAAUACCUUUUACAGGUUGGCGUCAGUUCCUCGGAAUUGAUUUCCAUAGCAUCUUGAACCCCUUAAACUCAUGGAGAAACUGUCUAUGAUGAAGAGAUGGGAACCAUAUGAUAAAGGAAGUUAUUUCCACUCCUUUGGUAGGCUAACUUCUGUCUCUUAGUACAUAGCAGUGUCCUACAGAGGCCCACAAGUAGGUAGUAUCGGGAUAGGAUUCAUCUGAUGUAAUAUAAGUCAAAAAGCAGAAAACAGAUAUUAAAAGCACUCCUCUAGCUCACCCCAUGAUCCCCUAACCAGAAUUGAAGUACAGAAUGCUGCAAGAUGUUCAGUUUUCGUGCUCAGCAUCCAGAAUGAGAACUUUUCUGCUGCAUUCCAAGUCAAGAUGUAGCCAACCUUCUUAAAGACAAGCAACCCUUUUUUAAUUUUGGAGAAUAAUAAUGGAAGAACAAGUUUCAUAUUGGAUAAGGGGGCUUGUAUACCAACCUCUUUAUAUGUGUCAGCAAACAACAGCUGUCAAAGAUGUGAAGGAAUUUCAUUAACUCCAUUUGAUCAAUUUGAAUUUGUGCAAAUCAGUUAUUUGUCCUUUGCUCAGAUGGCAAGGAAUGAUACAGAUUUUUG